rnacentral:tRNA from 1 species
CGGGAUAUAGCGCAGCCUGGUUAGCGCGCCGGUCUGGGGGACCGGAGGCCCCGAGUUCAAAUCUCGGUAUCCCGACCA